GAUUGCCCCAGUAACGGCGAGUGAAGCGGCAACAGCUCAAAUUUGAAAUCUGGCCCUAGGCCCGAGUUGUAAUUUGUAGAGGAUGCUUUUGGUGACGCGCCUACCGAGUCCCCUGGAAUGGGGCGCCACAGAGGGUGAGAGCCCCGUAUGGUUUGCCGCCGAGCCUCUGUAAAGCUCCUUCGACGAGUCGAGUAGUUUGGGAAUGCUGCUCUAAAUGGGAGGUAAAUUUCUUCUAAAGCUAAAUACCGGCCAGAGACCGAUAGCGCACAAGUAGAGUGAUCGAAAGAUGAAAAGCACUUUGAAAAGAGGGUUAAAUAGCACGUGAAAUUGUUGAAAGGGAAGCGCUUGUGACCAGACUCGCGCUGGGCGGAUCAUCUAGCGUUCUCGCUGGUGCACUCCGCCCGGCUCGGGCCAGCAUCGGUUUUCGCCGGGGGACAAAAGCCUCGGGAACGUGGCCCCCUUCGGGGGGUGUUAUAGCCCGUGGCAGAAUACCCCGGCGGGGACCGAGGACCGCGCUUCGGCAAGGAUGCUGGCGUAAUGGUCACCAGCGACCCGUCUUGAAACACGGACCGAGGAGUCAAGCAUUAGUGCGAGUGUUUGGGUGUAAAACCCGCACGCGUAAUGAAAGUGAACGUAGGUGAGAGCUUCGGCGCAUCAUCGACCGAUCCUGAAGUUUACGGAUGGAUUUGAGUAGGAGCAUUAACGCUUGGACCCGAAAGAUGGUGAACUAUACUUGAAUAGGGUGAAGCCAGAGGAAACUCUGGUGGAGGCUCGCAGCGGUUCUGACGUGCAAAUCGAUCGUCAAAUUUGAGUAUAGGGGCGAAAGACUAAUCGAACCAUCUAGUAGCUGGUUACCGCC
rnacentral:rRNA from 1 species